rnacentral:misc_RNA from 1 species
CACCGCUGCAAGAGGGGAAGUUGCUACUGUGAUGAAUUCUGCCAUGUGGCACCAGACUGCCACCCAGACCACAGUGUCCUCUGCAACCCUGGUCAAAGGUGCCUACAUGCUCCUUCUAGCUUUGUUUCCCUGAUGUUCCUUGCCACCUGCUACUCCUCUCUGAGCUACUUUUCCAGCUUCUCAGAUGACCAAGAUGGUGCUGCAGAUGGUGCUGAGGAUGGAGAACCCACCAAGCCCCGCUAGGAGCCACCUAGACUGGAUGCAGAGCAUGGCCCCAGCACCCGCAGAGCAGACACUGCGAUGACAACGGACGACACAGAAGUGCCCGCUAUGACUCUAGCACCGGGCCACGCCGCUCUGGAAACUCAAACACUGAGCGCUGAGACCUCUUCUAGGGCCUCAACCCCAGCCGGCCCCGUUCCAGAAGCAGAGACCAGGGGAUCCAAGAGAAUUUCCCCUGCAAGAGAG